UACGUAGGUGACAAGCGUUGUCCGGAUUUACUGGGCGUAAAGAGCGCGCAGGCGGUCGAUCAAGUCGAGUGUGAAAGCCCCCGGCUCAACUGGGGAGGGUCAUUCGAUACUGAUCGACUCGAAGGCAGGAGAGGGUAGUGGAAUUCCCGGUGUAGUGGUGAAAUGCGUAGAUAUCGAGAGGAACACCUGCGGCGAAGGCGGGUUGCUGGGCUGAUACUGACGCUGAGGCGCGAAAGCCAGGGGAGCGAACGGG
rnacentral:rRNA from 1 species